AGCGAACGCUGGCGGCAUGCUUAACACAUGCAAGUCGCACGGAUCUUUCGGGAUCAGUGGCGGACGGGUGAGUAACGCGUAGGGAUCUAUCCAUGGGUGGGGGACAACUCCGGGAAACUGGAGCUAAUACCGCAUGAUACCUGAGGGUCAAAGGCGCAAGUCGCCUGUGGAGGAACCUGCGUUCGAUUAGCUAGUUGGUGGGGUAAAGGCCUACCAAGGCGAUGAUCGAUAGCUGGUUUGAGAGGAUGAUCAGCCACACUGGGACUGAGACACGGCCCAGACCCCUACGGGAGGCAGCAGUGGGGAAUUUUGGAAAAUGGGCGAAAGCCUGAUCCAGCAAUGCCGGGUGUGUGAAGAAGGUCUUCGGAUUGUAAAGCACUUUCGACGGGGACGAUGAUGACGGUACCCGUAGAAGAAGCCCCGGCUAACUUCGU
rnacentral:rRNA from 1 species